rnacentral:tRNA from 1 species
AGCCCCGCGGUGACACCACACCAAAGUGCAAACUUGGAGACGCACCCGCAAGAGGUGCCGGGGCUUC